rnacentral:rRNA from 1 species
CCUACGGGAUGCAGCAGUAGGGAAUCUUCCGCAAUGGACGAAAGUCUGACGGAGCAACGCCGCGUGAGUGACGAAGGCUUUCGGGUCGUAAAACUCUGUUGUUAGGGAAGAACAAGUGCUAGUUGAAUAAGCUGGCACCUUGACGGUACCUAACCAGAAAGCCACGGCUAACUACGUGCCAGCAGCCGCGGUAAUACGUAGGUGGCAAGCGUUAUCCGGAAUUAUUGGGCGUAAAGCGCGCGCAGGUGGUUUCUUAAGUCUGAUGUGAAAGCCCACGGCUCAACCGUGGAGGGUCAUUGGAAACUGGGAGACUUGAGUGCAGAAGAGGAGAGUGGAAUUCCAUGUGUAGCGGUGAAAUGCGUAGAGAUAUGGAGGAACACCAGUGGCGAAGGCGACUUUCUGGUCUGUAACUGACUCUGAGGCGCGGAAGCGUGGGGGGCAAACAGGAUUAGAUACCCCGGUAGUC